rnacentral:rRNA from 1 species
UACAGAGGUCCCAAGCGUUGUUCGGAUUCACUGGGCGUAAAGGGUGCGUAGGCGGUCGGGUAAGUCUGAUGUGAAAUCUCACAGCUUAACUGUGAAACUGCAUUGGAUACUAUCCGGCUAGAGGAAUGGAGGGGAGACUGGAAUACUUGGUGUAGCAGUGAAAUGCGUAGAUAUCAAGUGGAACACCAGUGGCGAAGGCGAGUCUCUGGACAUUUCCUGACGCUGAGGCA